rnacentral:rRNA from 1 species
UACGAAGGGGGCUAGCGUUGCUCGGAAUCACUGGGCGUAAAGCGCACGUAGGCGGCUUACUAAGUCAGAGGUGAAAGCCUGGAGCUCAACUCCAGAACUGCCUUUGAUACUGGUGAGCUUGAGUUCGGGAGAAGUGAGUGGAACUGCGAGUGUAGAGGUGAAAUUCGUAGAUAUUCGCAAGAACACCAGUGGCGAAGGCGGCUCACUGGCCCGAUACUGACGCUGAGGUGCGAAAGCGUGGGGAGCAAAC